CAACUGCAACGGUGAUUUUAGAUGAGUCCUUACCGUUAAUCCUUAGCAUUAUUUCAAUAUAAUAUUAUUAUUUUGGCUUAAUUAGCUAGGGAUCAAUCCUUCAAGAGGGAUUGGAAGGACUCAAUCCUUAACACACGUGUCUCUCUGUAUCUCUCCUCCCACGCUCUCUCUCGAUCUCUCCUCGCUCCAUCAUCUCCCACCAUGAUCCUUAUCGAAACCUUUUCGAUAAUUCCUCUUCUCCCUUUUCGGUUUUUCCCGUAUGACUCAAUCCUUAGGACUUGAUCCUUAUCGUUUUUCCCCGUAUCAAUGGAUCCUACGAUUUUCAAGCUCCUCGAAGAAGACGAGGGUGAAUCGAUGCAUUCGGGAGCUGAUGUCGACGCCUUCCAUGCCGCUCUUAAUCGAGAUAUUGAAGGUUCCACUUCACUGCCCACGAAUCCUGCAGUUGCAUCAGCCAAAUAAAUUGUUUGGGA